rnacentral:lncRNA from 7 species
GCUGCUCUGCAGUGCUGCAUGGGAGGAGGACUAUUCUGGAGGAAGGCUCGCAGUGGAGGUGAAAUAGCAGAUCAACACCGAGGCAGCAAGCUGAGGCUGCAGGGAAUGGCUCAGGGGGGAAAUCAAAGGGAAGAUGUCUUUGUUACCAACCCAGCUGCAACUUCCUGCUCCGGCCAGAAAAUACCCGAGGAGGUGACUUGUCAGCGGACUGCAUGCCUUUGCCUCGCCUCGCUUCCCCAUAAGAAAUGAAUAAUGAACUUGUAGGGCAAACACUGAAGGGCAAGGGGAAGGUGGAAUUCCCAGAAAUUAUCGUCCCUUGGUAAGCACAAAGAGAGCCUCUGUCCUUCACCACUCUGAUUCCUAUAAAUAGAGCUUUACUGUGAAGGAGAGGGCUUCCCUCCGCUGAGCACAAGUGAUAAACCAGCAUUUCUCAUCCAGUGGCACUCCUCUCAGUUUGGAGCAAUACCUUUCAAUUCAGGGCAUGACCCACACCCCACUAUUGUUCGAUUGUGCAUUGUAAUUUCAGGCUGUGCUCCAUGCACUCAUCUUUUGAGAAGGCUGUGACCAAGUAAUCGAGGCUGUCAUCACGCACAACCUGGCUCGGGAGGCAGAAAUCUCCCCACUGCUCUUUUUCCAUUUCCUGGCUCGACAUCAGGGGAAGAGAUUAUGUGAUCUGAUAGGUAAAAUUAUCCCAUCAGAGGUGAAUGUCCUAAUAAAAGGCUUUUGCAGGCCUGGUUGUGUGAUAUCCCUGAGAAGGC